UGCCAAAAUUUACCGUCUCUUCUGACUUGC
rnacentral:piRNA from 1 species